UACGAAGGGGGCCAGCGUUGCUCGGAAUCACUGGGCGUAAAGGGUGCGUAGGCGGGUCUUUAAGUCGGGGGGGAAAUCCUGGAGCUCAACUCCAGAACUGCCUUCGAUACUGGAAGACUUGAGUCCGGGAGAGGUGAGUGGAACUGCGAGUGUAGAGGUGAAAUUCGUAGAUAUUCGCAAGAACACCAGUGGCGAAGGCGGCUCACUGGCCCGGUACUGACGCUGAGGUGCGAAAGCGUGGGGAGCAAACAGG
rnacentral:rRNA from 1 species